rnacentral:rRNA from 1 species
GAUGAACGCUGGCGGCGUGCCUAAUACAUGCAAGUCGAGCGAACGGAUGAGAAGCUUGCUUCUCUGAUGUUAGCGGCGGACGGGUGAGUAACACGUGGAUAACCUACCUAUAAGACUGGGAUAACUUCGGGAAACCGGAGCUAAUAACGGAUAAUAUUUUGAACCGCAUGGUUCAAAAGUGAAAGACGGUCUUGCUGUCACUUAUAGAUGGAUCCGCGCUGCAUUAGCUAGUUGGUAAGGUAACGGCUUACCAAGGCAACGAUGCAUAGCCGACCUGAGAGGGUGAUCGGCCACACGGGAACAGAGGCACAGUCCAGACUCCGACAGGAGGCAGCAGUAGGGAAUCUUCCGCGAUGGGCGAAAGCCUGACGGAGCAACGCCGCGUGAGUGAUGAAGGACUUCUGAUCGUAAAACUCUGUUAUUAGGGAAGAACAUAUGUGUAAGUAACUGUGCACAUCUUGACGGUACCGAAUCAGAAAGCCACGGCUAACUACGUG